rnacentral:rRNA from 1 species
UACGAAGGGGGCUAGCGUUGCUCGGAAUCACUGGGCGUAAAGCGCACGUAGGCGGAUAUUUAAGUCAGGGGUGAAAUCCCAGAGCUCAACUCUGGAACUGCCUUUGAUACUGGGUAUCUGGAGUAUGGAAGAGGUGAGUGGAAUUCCGAGUGUAGAGGUGAAAUUCGUAGAUAUUCGGAGGAACACCAGUGGCGAAGGCGGCUCACUGGUCCAUUACUGACGCUGAGGGUGCGAAAGCGUGGGGAGCAAACAGG